rnacentral:lncRNA from 1 species
UUGCAGGUCUUUUCCAGUCAUUAUAACGCUGAACCUGAUGAUCCCUUCUGACGGAUUAUCUGAUGAACUGGACGCAGCAACCAUCCCUUCUACCUUCACUUGCGACGAAGUUGAAUCUGCUUUUCGUGCAGAAUCUCUGUUGGAAAUCUCGACUCCCUGCUUGUCCUUCGUCGUUCCUGACGAACUGGAAGCAACCAUCGGCUCAACCUUCAUCUGAGACAUACGCGACUCUGCAUUCAGUGCAGAUUCUCUACUCGUCACCUCGGCCUGCUUCUUGUUCAUCGUUUCUGCCGACUUCCUCUUAUCUUCCGAAUGGCCUUCCUUGUGCAGCCUCUCUUGAAAUUGCUUCUCCUUAAGUGC